rnacentral:rRNA from 1 species
UACGUAGGGGGCAAGCGUUGUCCGGAUUUAUUGGGCGUAAAGCGCGUGUAGGCGGCCAGAUAGGUCUGCUGUGAAAACUCGAGGCUCAACCUCGAGCUGUCGGCGGAAACCAUCUGGCUAGAGUCCGGAAGAGGAGAGUGGAAUUCCUGGAGUAGCGGUGAAAUGCGCAGAUAUCAGGAAGAACACCUAUGGCGAAGGCAGCUCUCUGGGACGGUACUGACGCUGAGACGCGAAAGCGUGGGGAGCGAACAGG